rnacentral:rRNA from 1 species
CUACGGAGGGGGCUAGCGUUGUUCGGAAUUACUGGGCGUAAAGCGUACGUAGGCGGACUGAUCAGUUGGGGGUGAAAUCCCAGGGCUUAACCCUGGAACUGCCUUCAAUACUGUCAGUCUUGAGUCCGGAAGAGGUGAGUGGAAUUCCUGGUGUAGAGGUGAAAUUCAUAGAUAUCAGGAGGAACACCAGUGGCGAAGGCGGCUCACUGGUCCGGUACUGACGCUGAGGUACGAAAGCGUGGGGAGCAAACAGGAUUAGAAACCCUAGUAGUCC